rnacentral:rRNA from 1 species
ACCUGCCCAAGAGACUGGGAUAACACCUGGAAACAGAUGCUAAUACCGGAUAACAACACUAGACGCAUGUCUAGAGUUUGAAAGAUGGUUCUGCUAUCACUCUUGGAUGGACCUGCGGUGCAUUAGCUAGUUGGUAAGGUAACGGCUUACCAAGGCAAUGAUGCAUAGCCGAGUUGAGAGACUGAUCGGCCACAUUGGGACUGAGACACGGCCCAAACUCCUACGGGAGACAGCAGUAGGGAAUCUUCCACAAUGGACGAAAGUCUGAUGGAGCAACGCCGCGUGAGUGAAGAAGGGUUUCGGCUCGUAAAGCUCUGUUGGUAGUGAAGAAAGAUAGAGGUAGUAACUGGCCUUUAUUUGACGGUAAUUACUUAGAAAGUCACGGCUAACUACGUGCCAGCAGCCGCGGUAAUACGUAGGUGGCAAGCGUUGUCCGGAUUUAUUGGGCGUAAAGCGAGUGCAGGCGGUUCAAUAAGUCUGAUGUGAAAGCCUUCGGCUCAACCGGAGAAUUGCAUCAGAAACUGUUGAACUUGAGUGCAGAAGAGGAGAGUGGAACUCCAUGUGUAGCGGUGGAAUGCGUAGAUAUAUGGAAGAACACCAGUGGCGAAGGCGGCUCUCUGGCCUGCAACUGACGCUGAGGCUCGAAAGCAUGGGUAGCGAACAGGAUUAGAUACCCUGGUAGUCCAUGCCG